CCUACGGGUGGCAGCAGUGAGGAAUAUUGGUCAAUGGCCGUAAGGCUGAACCAGCCAAGUCGCGUGAAGGAAGAAGGAUCUAUGGUUUGUAAACUUCUUUUAUAGGGGAAUAAAGGUAUCCACGUGUGGAUAUUUGCAUGUACCCUAUGUAUCAGCAUCGGCUAACUUCGUGCCAGCAGCCGCGGUAAGACGGAGGAUGCGAGCGUUGUCCGGAUUUAUUGGGUUUAAAGGGUGCGUAGGUGGUUUUUUAAGUUAGCGGUGAAAGUUUGUGGCUCAACCAUAAAAGUGCCGUGGAAACUGGAAGACUUGAGUGUGUUUGAGGGAGGCGGAAUGCGUGGUGUAGCGGUGAAAUGCAUAGAUAUCACGAAGAACUCCGAUUGCGAAGGCAGCUUACUAGGCCAUAACUGACACUGAAGCACGAAAGCGUGGGGAUCAAACAGGAUUAGAUACCCGAGUAGUC
rnacentral:rRNA from 1 species